rnacentral:lncRNA from 1 species
CAACCUGUAACCCCAUAUGGAAGGAUGUCAAUACUAUGCCACGGGUAAAGAGCUCUGCUAUGGUAAACCCUCUCUAACGGGUAACCCUGAACAGGAAGUCAACCCUAAGGCAAUAUAAUAGUCAAUCCUUAAUCUAACGGGUGACUCCUGCUCCUGCACUGGUAACACAGUUUUGGAGUUUAGGAACUAUUACUAACGACUCUGCCUCUCUAACGGGAAACCCGUCAUCUCUGC